AUUGAACGCUGGCGGCAUGCCUAACACAUGCAAGUCGAACGGCAGCACGGGAGCUUGCUCCUGGUGGCGAGUGGCGGACGGGUGAGUAAUGCAUAGGAAUCUGCCCAGUAGCGGGGGACAACUUGGGGAAACUCAAGCUAAUACCGCAUGCGCCCUACGGGGGAAAGCGGGGGACCUUCGGGCCUCGCACUAUUGGAUGAGCCUAUGUCAGAUUAGCUUGUUGGUGGGGUAACGGCCUACCAAGGCGACGAUCUGUAGCUGGUCUGAGAGGACGAUCAGCCACACUGGGACUGAGACACGGCCCAGACUCCUACGGGAGGCAGCAGUGGGGAAUAUUGCACAAUGGGCGAAAGCCUGAUGCAGCAAUGCCGCGUGUGUGAAGAAGGCCUGCGGGUUGUAAAGCACUUUCAGUAGGAGGAAACAGUAGCCGGUUAAUAUCCGGUUGCCUUGACGGUACCUACAGAAGAAGCACCGGCUAACU
rnacentral:rRNA from 1 species